GUCCCGGCUGCGCACUUUCCGGCCGUCGGGGCCUGCUUGUCGGCCAGAGCCGACAGGAAGAAGCGCCAAGCCGCAGACCCUGGAGCUGGAGCUCCUCCUCAGCCUGCACCAGAGCCGACAGCGCCACCUGGAGACCAGCAGGAGCGUAGACCUUACUGACCGGCAGGUAAAGAUUUGAAGAUGAAAAAGCGGCUGCAACCAACCAGAGUUACCUCAACAAUAAAUGGACUAAUGAAGAAGAAGAGGACGUUCCGGUGGCUCGGACUAUAUGGAGCUGGAACACAGAGAGGGAAAGCAGGGUGCAACUUGGACUCAGUCUGCCUGUCUUCGUCUGAUACAAGUUGCACACUAAAGCUCCUUUCAGGAAUGCACUGCAAACCUGAACUUAUCCAGACAUUACCUGGCAGAGCUGUAUGUGAGAAUACAAAUGUCUGAAUCAGUUGGAACGGACAUUAAACGGUCUUUACCCUGAAUGCGCCCUUAUACAAAGUCUGUGUAAUCUCUGAUUGCACCGAAAGUGUGAGAAUUCACAGAAAGCGAGUGGGUGUGUUGCUGACGUUUGAUGCCGCUUGUGCAAAACCAGCAGAAAAAAAAACAACUUCUGGGGGUGAUGAAAGAUGGUGAUUUACAUGAAGAGGAAAACAACAAUGUCUAACUGGACAGACAACGAGAUUCGGGAACUUUUGUUGGUAAGGGCCAACGCAAAAAUCAAAA